rnacentral:rRNA from 1 species
GUCUACGGCUAUACCACCCUGAACGUGCCUGAGCUCCUCUGAUCUCAGAAGCUAAGCAGGGUCGGGCCUGGUUAGCACUUGGAUGGGAGAAAAGGCACUCCUGUAGCUA